UUAUAAGAGACAGCAGUAGCCGCGGGAAUACGUAGGUGGCAAGCGUUGUCCGGAAUUAUUGGGCGUAAAGGGCUCGCAGGCGGUUUCUUAAGUCUGAUGUGAAAGCCCCCGGCUCAACCGGGGAGGGUCAUUGGAAACUGGGAAACUUGAGUGCAGAAGAGGAGAGUGGAAUUCCAUGUGUAGCGGUGAAAUGCGUAGAUAUAUGGAGGAACACCAGUGGCGAAGGCGACUCUCUGGUCUGUAACUGACGCUGAGGCGCGAAAGCGUGGGGAGCAAACAGGAUUAGAUACCCCUGUAGUCCCUGUCUCUUAUAC
rnacentral:rRNA from 1 species